CCCGUCUCCUCCCGUGUGGCCGCCCCGCCUCCCCGGCGCUGAGGUCAGCGCCGGCUAACGUCAGUGCUGGGAACCAGCGCGGGGUUCGGGUACGCGGGAGGGGCGGGAGCGGCGGGUACAGGAGGCCGAGGUGGGCCUGCGCGGACGUGGUCUCCCGCCCCUCGCGGCGGGGGCUGAGUGCCGCUGCCUCCAAGAAGCUUUCGCUGAUGCCGCCUCCCCCUAGCGGCCUCCUCUGACCUCCCACGGCAGUUUCCAGCCACAGCCGGGCAGAGCCACUCACCCCCAAGCUUUGGAGCCAUGUUUCCGCUUUGCUGGUUUUUUUUCUUUUUCAAAACGAGACGGAAUGGGUUCCUCUUGAACCUUCAGGAGUGGGGAACGCAGUUUACUCCCACGGCACUACCACGGCCCUCAGCGGGUCCUUGCUCUCCAAGCAGUUCCUUUCUGUUGCCUGAAAACAUCCAGCUUUCUUCUCGGUGCCACGGGAAACUGAGCUGACCUUGGAAAAAAGAGAACUCAGAGGUUCAUGAAACCAGAGGACAGAUGUCAGCAAGCCCAGAAUUGACCAGAGCUGACCACCAAGGAAGCCAGUGAACAAGGUCACGGCACCGAAAAGCUCCUCAGGGACACUCAGCACCCACAUCUGAGCAUCUUUGACAGUGGGCCUAGUGUUCUGGGCCUCACGCCCUGACACCAGCAUUGAUGAAAAAAACACUUUUCAGAUAAACCAUCACUUGUUUUAUUGCAGGAAAUAAAACUCUUGUCCUUACGUG
rnacentral:lncRNA from 1 species